rnacentral:rRNA from 1 species
UACGAAGGGGGCUAGCGUUGCUCGGAAUCACUGGGCGUAAAGCGCGUGUAGGCGGCUUUGCAAGUCGGGUGUGAAAGCCCUCAGCUCAACUGAGGAAGUGCGCCCGAAACUGCAGAGCUUGAGUGCCGGAGAGGGUGGCGGAAUUCCCGGUGUAGCGGUGAAAUGCGUAGAUAUCGGGGAGGAACAUCAGUGGCGAAGGGCGGCCCUCUGGUCCAGUACUGACACUCAAGUGCGAAAGCGUGGGGAGCAAACAGG